CCCCAGGUGGCUCAGAUGGUAGAGCGUCUGCCUGCAAUGCAGGAGGCCCAGGUUCGAUCCCUGGGUCGGGAA
rnacentral:tRNA from 1 species